AGCAGCCGCGGUAAUUCCAGCUCCAAUAGCGUAUAUUAAAGUUGUUGCAGUUAAAAAGCUCGUAGUUGAAUUUCGGAAUCAAUAUAUCGGUCGUGCCUUGGUACGUACUGGUAUCAUUGGUUUCUCCUUUCUGACGAACCAUAAUGUCAUUAAUUUGGUGUUAUGGGAAGUUAGGACUGUUACUUUGAAAAAAUUAGAGUGUUUAAAGCAGGCUUUAGCUUGAAUACAUUAGCAUGGAAUAAUGAAAUAGGACGUUCGAACCUAUUUUGUUGGUUUCUAGGAUCAACGUAAUGAUUAAUAGGGAUAGUUGGGGGCAUUAGUAUUCAAUUGUCAGAGGUGAAAUUCUUGGAUUUAUUGAAGACUAACUACUGCGAAAGCAUUUGCCAAGGAUGUUUUCAUUAAUCAAGAACGAAAGUUAGGGGAUCGAAGACGAUCAGAUACCGUCGUAGUCUUAACCAUAAACUAUGCCGACUAGGGAUCGGAUGAUGUAAUUUUUUAAUGACUCA
rnacentral:rRNA from 1 species